rnacentral:SRP_RNA from 1 species
CGGCAUCAUCCCAACCUCUAACUAAUUCGAAUGCUCGGGCUUCGCGUAUCAAGACCCCUAGAAUUGAGGGGCCUCCUGCAGCCGACCUGCCCAAGCCACCACCAUCACCAAAGAAGAUAAAACCGAAGUCA